UUUUUGCGAAAUUAGCUGCAC
rnacentral:piRNA from 1 species